GGUAGAGUGGCCGAGAGUCAGGUGGCAGGCUGUAGUCCUGUAAACAUAGGUUUAAAUCCUGUCUCUAUCA
rnacentral:tRNA from 1 species